rnacentral:rRNA from 1 species
CGAACGCCGCGUGAACGAUGAAGGCCUUCGGGUCGUAAAGUUCUGUUGUUAGGGAAGAAUAAGUACCGGAGUAACUGCCGGUACCUUGACGGUACCUAACCAGAAAGCCACGGCUAGCUACGUGCCAGCAGCCGCGGUAAUACGUAGGUGGCAAGCGUUGUCCGGAAUUAUUGGGCGUAAAGCGCGCGCAGGCGGUCCUUUAAGUCUGAUGUGAAAGCCCACGGCUCAACCGUGGAGGGUCAUUGGAAACUGGGGGACUUGAGUGCAGAAGAGGAGAGUGGAAUUCCACGUGUAGCGGUGAAAUGCGUAGAGAUGUGGAGGAACACCAGUGGCGAAGGCGACUCUCUGGUCUGUAACUGACGCUGAGGCGCGAAAGCGUGGGGAGCAAACAGGAUUAGAUACCCUGGUAGUCCACGCCGUAAACGAUGAGUGCUAAGUGUUAGAGGGUUUCCGCCCUUUAGUGCUGCAGCUAACGCAUUAAGCACUCCGCCUGGGGAGUACGGCCGCAAGGCUG